GAACGCGUUCGGAGCGCUCUGCCCGCAGGGGAGGCUGCACGGUUCCGCUGGGGCGCAGAACCUUGGCUGGACGCUCCCGGGCGCUCUUCCAAGGGGGCCCCCUGCACCAAAAUCCCUGGGACGUUUGUCUGAUUUGCGGAUUCCAGCGCUACGAGAUCAGAACCCCCGAGGCUGGGCAUUCUCAAAUUAGCACUCCCAAGUGCUCGUGAAGUCAGAGAACCAUGGGGGGGCGCCCCCCAGGCCGUGAGAGCGUCCCCACUGGAACCGAGCCCUGCUGUCCGUAGCGGUAACCCCCUCGAUAGCCAUCCUUUCCCAGCGUCACUUUCCUCCUCUCUCACGCUUCCCACCUCACUCCCGCGUUCGGGGUCGGCUCCGGAUUUGCAGCACGCGCCCAAAGCCUUGCCUCAGUCUCUGUUUGGGGGCAUCCAAAUGAAGACCGGCACAUCCUAUUAAAUGUAUCAAGACAGAAUCAGCUGGACCUGGCAAUUUACAAUAUAAAGAGGAAGGAGCGCGCAACGGGUUUCCAUUUAAGGGGACUGGACGACGGGCAGUGCGGUCAUGGGGAAGUGAAAGUUGCGACUCUUAUUCCAAACAGACUGACUUCUUAUUCCGGGUGUCAGCCCGGCUUCCCGUUGCAAAGCGGAAGGAAGAGACCGGUGGACACACUAGGGCCCUGCGUGCCCGCUCCUGAGCGGUGAGAAUUGAUCUUCCGUGUAGGCGCAGUUCCCGCGAGGGGUCCUUCUGACACAAAGGCGACUGGCCCCAGUGACGUCUGCGGUUCCUGGCCGAGACGGGGUGUUGAAUGGUGUGUCGUUAAGGGGCAUGUACGCGAUCGUGGCCGCUUAAUUUGGAGGUUCGGAUUCACAGACAAUAAAAACUCCAAGUCAAA